CAGUUGGGCUACUCGACUGCACGUAUGUAUCGGACACCCGCCCGAGCCCGCCCGAUGUUUUCCGAACCGACCCGAAUAGUCGGGCCGCACAUCACUAAUGUGUAUGCAAUAUUGACAUCAAUUGGAUUUGUUUUUAGGUUAUAAAAAGUUAAAUGGAGAGAGGAUAAAGGUCUGCUACUUUAGAGGCAGCCUGUAGGAUACAGAUAGUCCCCUAUGUCGAUGGCUGCGACCCUUCAUCGGUUUAGCAUCGGCACGAAAAGUAUGCGUGCAUACAAAGCAUUCGAUCGGCUGCACAGCCUCGACACACACUCGAGAGAAAGCAACCGGCUGGCUGGGGGGAGUAUGUGACGCCGUCCUUAAACGGCCUUCCGCCACCCCUUGCUUUCCGGGUCACCCGUUACCCUGACAAGGGAGGUUUCAUAAUUGAGGACUAAUUGUCGCGUUAGGGCUCGAACGAAAAGAGAAGAGCAGAGUGGAAAAAGAGCAGAGCCAGGGAGAUCCAACUGUGGGGUAGAUCAAUGACCAAGUUUUCCUCACUUUUCUCUCCUUUAGAGGUCGAAUUCUUCGAGUUAAAAUUGUGGAAGAUAAUAAAAAAGUGAAAUAGAAAGGAGAAGCAGCUGUGUUCAAAUGAAAAGCUUGAUAAAUUAUCCAAAUCACAGAUGAAAUAUGAUAAGGAAUAGUGGAUUUAUGAAGUAGGAUCUUGAAACUCUUUUUGUGACGGUGAGGAGAGUGCUGAUUAGAAAGCGUCAAGUCAGGAAGCUGAAGGUGAGAACGAUUUCCUCGUGAGCUCCAUUAAUUAUUGCUGGCUCAACAGCGUCUCGCGUUACUGCUGGCAAAUCACUCUCCCUCCAAUAGAAAAAAAGAAAGAAAAACAGUGGAAUAUUUUUUUAAUCCCGAUAAAAUGUCAGUACAUUUACGGUACAUCGAUGCCCCAUGAAUCAAUUUCAAUAAUUGGAAAAAAGAUAUCUCUGUCUUCGCAAUUUAAUUUCACUGGAGGAAAUAGAAAAGUUAACUCUCCUUGAUCAGUUUUUCAUUUCCAUCAGCAAACAUUAAUUACCAAGUAUUCUAACAAAAAAUAUCCAUUUCAGAUCGGUAAAACAAUAACCCAAUUUCGCAAAACACCCUCUGCCUUGACACUCGAAAUACCCUAAAAAGCAGCUCCAAUAAUUUCACAAAAAAAAAAAAAAAAAAAAAAAA